GAAUCCAUCCACUGUAGAAGUUCGGAUGGAGUUCGAUUCUUGUAGGAGUCUGAAAGGAGGCCGUUUACUGUAGAAGCUCGGAUAGAGAUCGGUUGCCAUGGAAGCCCAGAUGGAGACAGCUUAUUCUAAAAGCUCGGCUGAAAUUCAAAAGGCGGUCAACCACUGUAGAAACUUGGAUGGAGUCUGGUUAUUGUAGAAGUCCUGCUGCUGGAGAAGCCCGAACAUUGAUGAAGUUCAGAAGAAGCUCGAAGUAAAGUCGAUCAUGACAGGAGGAAGUCUGGAAG
rnacentral:lncRNA from 1 species